UUAUUGUCCAACAUCACAAUUAUGGCAAGCAAGAUAUAUGUCUCUUUGUGGUGGAAAAGAUACAGACAUGCAAACUCAGACUGGAUUUGGGCUAAAGAGACAAAUCAGCAUCUUCACAUACAAUGCUCAGGUGCACUCACCCUUCCAAGGCCUGUUUCCCUUUCUUCUACAAUGGGUUUUCCCUUUUCUGGAAGAUCUCUACACCCUUGAUAUCUUCUCCGACAGAAGUUCUGCCCAUUGUGUAAAAUUUCUUUGGCCCUUCUCACCUUUUUCUCCUCUUUUCAGGGGUCAUCGGGAAGAAGAAAAACCAGCUGGCACUAUGAGCUCAAGGGAAGUCUGACUGGAAUAGGUGGAAAGGAAUGAAUUUAAACUCACGGCUGUCUAUGAGUUUAAAAUAUCUUAUCAGUUGAAAAGAUCCAAGAAAUAAUGAAUUCAUACCCUGCAAAAAUUCUAUCCUUCCAACAUCCCUUUCAUCCAUCUGAAAGGCUGAAUCACAUCUGCCUGGGACUUUAAAGUAACUAUGAAAUAUAGACCAUCAUUGCCAGUGGGUAUCAUCAAUAGUUGUAAAGAAUCCAUUUCCAGAGUUUCUGGAUCACUAAAAUGGGCUAUUUUGCUUGUUAAGGAGGGAGGGGGCCAAUGUGCAAUGUGUGAGUCCGCCUGCCUCUUGCUUCUAGUUCUUUUUAUGCGCACACAGAAAGAGGAGGAAUAUCAUACGCUGGUUUUAUCCCUAAUGAAUUAAUGAGGUGGUCCUAUUCUUUGUAAGGUCCUACUAAUUAAUUAAUGAAGUGGUCCUAUUCUUUGUAAGGUCCUGCUAAUUAAUUAAUGAGGUGGUCCUAUUCUUUGUAAGAUUUACGUAUUGAGUUUUUCAGAAUAAGCAACAUCUUUCAAAUGUGAAUUUUUCUCUUAAACUCAGCAUGAGUCUUCAGCACAAUAGUAUGUCACUUCCUCUAGAUGACUUCUGUGGAAUUAAAUUUAAAAAUCAGUAGAAUAGUCUUAGCAAGAGAGAUGGUUUUACAUGCUUUGAGAAAGAAAUUUAAAAGGAAGAUAGACCCAUACACAGUCUUUUUUUUUUUUUUUUCUUUUUUGAGAUGAAGUCUCGCUCUGUCACCCAGGCUGGAGUGCAGUGGUGCGAUCUCUGCUCACUGCAACUUCUGUUCACCUCCAGGGUUUGAGCGAUUCUCCUGCCUCAGCCUCCUGAGUAGCUGGGAUUACAGGUGCCCGCCACCAAGCCCGGAUAAUUUUUGUCUUUUUAGUAAAGACGGGGUUUCACCAUGUUGGUCAGGCUGGUAUUGAACCCCUGAGCUCAGGUGAUCCACCUGCCUUGGCCUCCCAAAGUGCUGGGAUUACAGGAGUGAGCCACCGAGCCCGGCCAUCAUAUACAGUAGUUUUCUAAUAAUCUGAAUUUAUUAAGUGGCUGUUACAGUGAAUGAAUGAAUUUUUAAAAAGCGUGGGCAACAAUAAACCACUAGAAAUUUACAACAGCUUACAUUUUAAAACUACGAUGUUGAUGUGAGUAAACACACAGAAAAGAUAAAAUAAAUAUCUGAGCAAAACAGCAAGGCCACAGUAAGAUGAGUAAGAAAAACAGUAAGGAUGUGACAGAUUCAACAAAGUCCUGGGUGGCCUAGUAGGGAAAAAAAAUGUAUAGUAGACUAUUAUAAGGAAGGAAUGCCGUGGUUAUUAAAACAGGGUACUGAAAUCUGUGAAACCAUAUUAGUAACCUCAAGAAUGGCAAACAUGACUUAUUAAGUUGGAUUAAGAAAAAAAGAGGGCAAACUGAAAACAAAUUACUGUUUGGUAUGAGUCAUAUGUUAUAGAUUCUUUCUAGAAUUUUGCAUGCAAUCCUGGUUGCCAUACAUGAGAUGUUAAUUGUAUCUCAACAUGAAUACAGAAAAGAGUAGAGAUUCUUGAACAAUCUAAAAUGUUAAGUGUAGUUAAGAGGGAUGUAUUCUUUCCUGUUAGAAACAUUAGAAGCUGACAUGGCCUGGAUUUGUUAAAGUAUACGUGUAUGAAAAAAAUAUUUUUAAGUAGGUUUUCAACUCCAUAGUGUUGCAUAAUUUCAAAUUAAGAAAAAGAGGCUGAUUGUGGUGGCUCACACCUGUAAUGCCAGCACUUUGGGAGGCCAAUGUGGGUGGAUCACAAGGUCAGGAGAUCGAGACCAUCCUGGCCAACAUUGUGAAACCCUGUCUCUACUAAAAAAAAAAAAAAAAAGAUUAGCUGGGCCUGGUGGUUGGUGUGUGCCUGGUGCCUGUAGUCCCAGCUACUUGGGAGGCUGAGGCAGGAGAGUCCCUUGAACCCAGGAGGCGGAGGUUGCAGUGAGCUGAGAUCGCGUCAUUGCAUCCAGCCUGGUGACAGAGCAAGACUCCAUCUCAAAAAAAAUAAAAAAUAAAAAGAAAAAGAAUGAGCAAAUGGAAGAGAUUCAGCAACAUAAAUGUUAAGAUGCUCAUGGUAAAGAAUAUAAGUAAUACUCUUAUCUGAAAAAGUGAAGAAAACAUAUGGAAGAUGUUACCAGGAAGGAAACCAAGCAAUGAGGAUCAAUGAAUUCAAGAAGUGCCUACAAACGCUUUGGAGAACAGAGGGAUUUUUAAAAGGGAUAAACUCAGAGGAUGAUAAGACCGGAUAAAUGUGACAAGAGGACUUCUUCAAAACCACUAUUUCUAGUGCUUGAAGACAUUUAUUGAAUAACAUAAACCCAAAGAAGCUUGCCUUACAUAAGCUCUUUAUGCUGUUUGGGUAGAAAAAAUCUCGCAAACUAAAUCCAAGUUUGAAAAUGCAAAACUACUGAAUCAGUUCAAACCUAAUUAUUAUUUCAAGUCACCACUGUACCUACUACAAGCCCCUCACAAAUCAUGCCAGAUUAAACACCUCAGGCCCUCAAACUUGUAUGCCUUUAAAUCACUAUUCAGAAGCUGUGCUUUUCCUCCUAGUUAAAUAAAUGAUUCUAAUUUAGCCGAUGGUAUAAUUUGCUUUUAAACUGUGUAUUUUACACUAACACCUGUUUCCUUCCUGUUCAACUUUCUGUCACUAAAAUAUUCAGAAUAAACUGAAACCACCUUGCCAUUUGA